rnacentral:tRNA from 1 species
GGAGAGGUGGCAGAGCUCGGUUGAAUGCGCUGCACUCGAAAUGCAGUAAGCCUGCAAAGGUUUCGAGGGUUCGAAUCCCUCCCUCUCCGCCA